GGUUACAUGGCCGAGCGGUCCAAGGCGUUGGAUUUAAGUCGGCGUCGAUUUUCUUCGGAAUUUUGUCGAGCGUAGAAUCCCAAUGGGGCAACCCGCGCGAGUUCGAACCUCGCUGUAACCA